rnacentral:rRNA from 1 species
AUGAUUGUAGUGCCGAGUCAAGAUGGAAGAAAAGGGGGAUUGUUGCUAGUUUGGAAGGAGGUGAGGAUCAACUUCCGAGCUGCUACCCUUGAUUUCAUUGAUGUUACUGUGGUUGAAGAGAACGGGGAGGAAUGGAGACUAACCGGAUUUUAUGGAGAGCCUAAUUGGGACCUUAAGGCACGCACUUAUCGUCUCCUUAGGGACCUACAUGAGCAGUCUGGACAGCGUUGGGCUGUUAUUGGUGACUUUAAUGAGAUUCUUAUCUCGUCUGAAAAGGAUGGGGGUGCCCCAAGGCAACAGUCACGCAUGCAAGCUUUUCAGGACGCAUUGUCAGAUUGCUCUCUUGAGAAUAUGGGAUAUGUUGGUGACAAAUAUACCUGGUUCCGUGGUGGCCUUAGAGAGAGAUUGGACAGAGCUGUAACAUGUGCGAGGUGGAUGCUUAUUCAUCCAUUCGCUUGUGUAAUUAACCUUGAGAUGGGCAAGUCUGAUCAUAGACCAAUCUGCCUAGAUACUAAUUAUCUAGUAGGAGUUGCAGAGAAUAAACCUACUUAUGGGAGAAAAUUCAAAGCUCGUUGGUUUUCUGAGGAGAUAGUAAAAAAUGCAUGGCAAAAAGCUUCGAUGCUCGGUCUACCUACCCAGACGAGCGUGAAGUUGGCUGCAGUACAUCAAGAGCUGCAUACUUGGGACAGACGUGUUUUGUAA